CAGCAGCCGCGGUAAUACGAAGGGGGCUAGCGUUGUUCGGAUUUACUGGGCGUAAAGGGCGCGUAGGCGGGCUGAUCAGUCAGGGGUGAAAUCCCAAGGCUCAACCUUGGAACUGCCUUUGAUACUGUCGGUCUUGAGUUCGAGAGAGGUAAGUGGAACUGCGAGUGUAGAGGUGAAAUUCGUAGAUAUUCGGAGGAACACCAGUGGCGAAGGCGGCUCACUGGACCAUUACUGACGCUGAGGUGCGAAAGCGUGGGGAGCAAACAGGAUUAGAUACCCCAGUAGUCCCUGUCUCUUAUAC
rnacentral:rRNA from 1 species